ensembl:lncRNA
ACGUUUUACUAUACAUUAGUACACACAGCUAACUCAGCUAUCUCAAUGGGAACAUCCAGGUUGAUUGUCCUAAAAAAAUAUAUUUGUAUUUCAUUAAAACUAAACAGAAACCCACAUACCAUCUGCACACACCCUGGGGGCUGAGAUUUGGAGCUGAGUCUGCAGACUGAGAUUGGGCUUCAAAUGGAUAGCAUAUGUUCUACAGUUGAUAAGAAGGCUUCCUAAGGUUUUAUAAUGCUCAAAAUUAACUGAUUGUCUGUGUGUUUGUCUCACUGACUGCCUUCUUGUCUGCCUGUGUACUGUAGAGCAGUCUGUUUGUCUCACUGACAGCCUUCUUGUCUGUCUGUCUGCCUGUCUGCCUGUGUACAGUAAGAGCAGUCCGUUUGUCUCACUGACAGCCUUCUUGUCUGUCUGUCUGCCUGUGUACAGUAGAGCAGUCCGUUUGUCUCACUGACAGCCAUCUUGUCUGUCUGCCUGUGUACUGUAGAGCAGUUUGGGUGUAUUCAGUAGAGAGCAGCUGGACCCAAAUCCUCUUCUGGCCUUCACAUAGGUCACAUGCCCAGAUACCUACUGCCUUACACAAACCAAAACACAAACACAUACAAUUUUCUUGGGAAAUAAAUUAGCCCCUGUCUAACGAAUGCUGCACAGAGGCAGUUUGGUCGUGUAGGUUUCCAUUAAUGAACCUAAGAGCCUGGACACACCAAGUUAGACAUCUGUUUAUAGACUUCACGCAGACUUCCUGCUGAGAGAGUGCUAGUGUUGUGAACCCGUCAGGCCACAGGAACAUUUAAUAUUGUGUACAAAACAGAAAAUAAUAAUGGAAACAAAGUGUGGUCUAGGCUACUCCUAGAGGGUCUGAAAGAGCCUGCUGUGACAUGUGACAUGGCUUAGAUCAGGGGUCAAAGGUCAGGGGAGAUGGGGUUAGUGUCAGGGCAGCCAGGAUUUACAUUAUUUGGUCAUUCCUCUUUGUAUAAAGCUCUCUGCUGUGUAAAACUUUAUCAUCCUCCUCUCACUCCACUUCAGCAGCAUUCUCCACUACUUUAAGAUAUUACAGGAGCUAAAAUCUUUCUCUGUGCUCUCCUGUCCCUCAACCUUCGCUCUCCUGUGCCUCAACCUUCGCUCUCCUGUGCCUCAACCUUCGUUCUCCUGUCCCUCAACCUUCGUUCUCCUGUGCCUCAACCUUCGCUCUCCUGUGCCUCACUCCUCUUCUCCUCUUCUCAUAACAUCCCCACUCCUCUUUUCUUUCUGGCAUGCCUCUUCUCCCUUUUUUCCUUCCUUCCGUUCUCCUCUCCUCCACCUCUACUCUCCCCCUCCCCUUCCGUAAGGAUUAAUUCUGUCUCAUUUACAGAAAUAUGACAUUCCUUUUUAGAAGCCAGAUCCAGCCGGUUAAAGCCCUGCCAUCUGUUCCCACUGCACACACACACACACACACACACACACAUAUAUAUCUGAAAGGAGUCCAAACACGAUUUCUAUUCAAAAUCGGUGCCCUACACCUAAACCCUGAACCCUAAUUCUAACACUUAACGUCAUUCUAACCCUAACCUCAACCCUAAUUCAAAUUCAAGCCCCAAUUGUAACAUUGCAUUGUUGAACCUAGGUUUUAGGUGUUUUUGGUUUAUGUCUAAGGAGUAGAAGUCAGAAUAAGUGUUUGCUCUCUGUAGUAAAUUGCCCUGAAGGAGAGCAUCAACUAAAAUCCCUAAAUGUAACUGUACUGUAGACCCUGCAGCUCACCCUUGUCUUUCAUGGAGCCCAGCGGAAUGAACCCACAAGGUCACAGUUUAUGUUUAUUGUCCUUUCAGGGGGAUUUUUGGUCAAGACGGGUAUGAUAAAACCUGUACAUCCACAGAGACAGUCAUGAUAUAACACUGGGUCAUGAUGCUGCUGAACACUGGGUCAUGAGGCUGCUGAACACUGGGUCAUGAGACAGCUGAACACUGGGUUAUGAGACAGCUGAACACUGGGUUAUGAGACAGCUGAACACUGGGCCAUGAGACAGCUGAACACUGGGUUAUGAGACAGCUGAACACUGGGUCAUGAGACAGCUGAACACUGGGUCAUGAGACAGCUGAACACUGGGUUAUGAGACAGCUGAACACUGGGUUAUGAGACAGCUGAACACUGGGCCAUGAGACAGCUGAACACUGGGUUAUGAGACAGCUGAACACUGGGUCAUGAGACAGCUGAACACUGGGUUAUGAGACAGCUGAACACUGGGUUAUGAGACAGCUGAACACUGGGCCAGAAUACUAUGCAGUUCUAAAACUGAUCCUUGGAUUAAUCUUUGCCUCCCUCACAAUCUUCCUCACUGUGUGUGGGGGCAAUGUGUCUUCUUGCCUCAGGGGUCUGGGACCCCAGCAGACUGGGUCCAGUGGGUUAGGACUCUGCUUCAGGGGUCUGGGACCCCAGCAGACUGGGUCCAGUGGGUUAGGACUCUGCUUCAGGGGUCUGGGACCCCAGCAGACUGGGUCCAGUGGGUUAGGACUCUGCUUCAGGGGUCUGGGACCCCAGCAGACUGGGUCCAGUGGGUUAGGACUCUGCUUCAGGGGUCUGGGACCCCAGCAGACUGGGUCCAGUGGGUUAAAACUCAGGGGUACUCAAUUAUGAGACUAAUUCAAUUAUAAUUGAAAUUGCAAUAUUUUAAUCACUCCCACAGUUUUUAGUUUGAAUCAAAUGUGAAUGAGACAUGGCUCAUGUGACAGACAAAUUAUGGUAUACCAAUAAUGGUCAAAUAAUUUACAGUUUCAGCUUAAACAGCAUAGUUAAGAUUUUCAGCUUCAAUGUCAUGGUUAUUAAGAGUUUCAGCUUCAAUGUCAUGGUUAUUAAGAGUUUCAGCUUCAACGUCAUGGUUAUUAAGAGUUUCAGCUUCAAUGUCAUGGUUAUUAAGAGUUUCAGCUUCAAUAUCAUGGUUAUUAAGAGUUUCAGCUUCAACGUCAUGGUUAUUAAGAGUUUCAGCUUCAAUGUCAUGGUUAUUAAGAGUUUCAGCUUCAAUGUCAUGGUUAUUAAGAGUUUCAGCUUCAACAGCAUGUUUAUUUAGUUGCAGCUUCAAGAUUGGUGCAUGCAAACAGGCUACUUGAUGUGGGUGAAAAUGUCACUGAAGGGUUGAGAUAGUUUGCUUAACUAGCCUGCUGGCAACUGCGCAAACACCUUUGCAUUGAAUUAAUAUAUAGACUACGACAACAUUUAGACAAGCUGUACCUUGGGCUACAACAUUGUUAGCCUUGAAACUGGUAACCUAAAGUUUUAUAUGUCUUAAAAGAACUUCGUUUUUUUAUAAUCAGUUAGAAAUCAUAGAGUUUACAAUGUGCUAUGACGUGAUUUUAAAAGUGAGGUUAUCUACCCUGUUCAUACUCAAGUGAUAUUUCAUCCAAAUUGUGCAGCCCUACUCAUGGGCCCCGUACCUAUGCAGACCGGGUCCAGUGGGUUAAAACUCUGCCUCGGACCCUGUACUUCUGCAGCCUCAGGGGCCCAGUACCACUGCAGACUUGGUCCAAUGGGUUAAGAUUCUGCCUCAGGGGCCCUGUACCACUGCAGGCUGGGUCCAGUGGGUUAAGACUGCCUCAGGGGCCCCGUACCACUGCAGCCACAGGGGCCCCAUACCACUGCAGCUGUCCGAAACGCAGCCCUGCGGGCCUCAUGCUACGUCCCCUGGGUUCCAAUCUGGCCCACUAAGAAAAUCUGACCUUUAAUCCUCUCAACACUGCCGGUCAAAUAAAGCAUAACAUUCUAAAGUGAAGCCAUUCAAUGUGUCAUCGUUCAAAUAAUCUAUAGAGAUAAGUUGUUGAAACAAUGUAACUGUGAGGCAAACUGUUCCAAUAGGAUUGUUUGCUUUUUUUCAUUUUCACAUUCGUAGUCUAGGCUGAUCCAGCACGUAAACCAAUUCAUUUUCAAACCGUGUGUCCUGCAGAUUUGACUUUUUGUGAUCCACAGAAAAUAAUUCAGAAGACUAUGAGUAGAAAAUAUAAAAUGUAGUAAACUUGCCGUAAGAAACAGGCAUCACACUUUCAACAGAUCACAGUGUUUAUUAUCAGAUGUAUAAAGUUAUAUUAAGUUUCAGCCACUCUGAGUACCCUCACAUUAACAACCAGGUUCCUGUAAAGCGACUGAUCGUCCACUUCAUACCUGACAGUCUCCUGAUUAGUAAGGAUUGUCUGCCUUUAAGCUGUGAGGUUUCUCUAGUAGUACUACAGAGAUUUAAUACAGUCAAGGACAAACAAUCAUGCAUGCAGAAAAGCCAAUGUGCACACACACACACACACACACACACACACACAGUCACAGUCACCUGAAAGCCACAUCACUAUGAACAGACUCAGAUAACACCAGUGAUAGAUAUUGAUAUACACCAACAUUUUCCAAAGAAAAAUAAAUGAGAAUAAUUAAACACUAGUUAUCAGUGCAUCCGUAUGAGACUGAAUUGGUCCAUGUUAAGGAAAAGGGACAUUAACAGCAAGGUUUACAGGAGGAGAUAUCAACAUCAAGGUUUACAGGAGGAGAUAUCAACAUCAAGGUUUACAGGAGGAGAUAUCAACAUCAAGGUUUUUACUCCAGACUUGGAUUACUUCUCUUUUAUCUUCUAACUGAUUAAAUGCCACAUCGGUUAAAAAUGGUUUGACCAUACAUCCUCAUAACCGUUGUUGAAAUAUGUUGAAGUCUUAUUUUAACGAAACUAAAUACGUUUCGCAUAAUACGUUAAAUCUCCGCGCACGGCAUGGUUUAUCUCCGCGCGCCCAAACUCUGCAACAGCUGGUCGGGAAAAGACACCGAGGAUGGAGAGGAAAAUAAAGCUAGAGUUGACAAGAACGAUAAACGCACAGUAUGAAAGACAGUCGCUUACAAUCAGCUUGACAAUUUGACAGAAAACACCAAACACCUUUUUAGAGUGAACGUACCGUUAAUGAACUGAGUAGGGCGCGUCUCCAAAAACUUCUCCGGGACCCUGAAACUUUCCCAGCCCGGUUUUCUGUGGCACCGGUGGAGGCAUGGUUCCUGGAAGCGGUAAGUAUAUCUGAUCGGUGUUGACUAGGUGCCUAGCUAGCGUGUGGACAUAAGGCUCUCGGAGGCGGCCUGGGCAAUCACCCGCGAGACAGAUGUGAGCGUGACAUAACGACAACAUCGUGAUUACGAUUAAUUUGGCUAAUUCCCCGGUUUGAGGAAGAAACAAAUCCUCUCACCGUCCGUCCUUCCUCUGGAGAGAGAGGGGGAGACAAUGAGAGUUCUGUUUAAUGUCCUGCUCUAGCAGUCUCCGAUCUCCUCCCCUCUUCAUUUUCCCUUUUGCCCUUUUUUUGUAAACACCACUUUACAAAGUGGGCAUAUUUGCGUAUUUAGGGAAAGGGAAAACUACACAGUCUAGGCUAACGGAUAUUUGGCUUCCGCAUUUAACCAACCCGGAAUGGGAGAGGUUGGAGCAAUUAACUGCCCUGCUCGGGGACAGACCGAUAUAUCACGUAUCAAUCCAGACAGACCCAAGCUCUUAAAUAAAUGCCCGAUCAUACACUUAAACAUUAGCUGACAAACUGUAUUUCAUGGAAACAAUGUGAUUUUUCAGUCAUGAUCUCUGAUAAACUCAAAACGACAGCUGCUGCAAACAACGUAAUCUGCGUGCCCCGUCCCUCUGGAAGUCGAGCAUGAAGAAGCGGUAACGUUUAUUUAUGGCCUGCCAUAAACAGAACUCCCGGGGCAUUGGCUCGUCAGCGCUGGAAAAGAGCAGGUCUUCCCGGAGUAAUGGAAUGAUGGAAAGAGCAGGUCUUUCCGGAGUAAUGGAAUGAUGGAAAGAGCAGGAGAGCCACUGCCUCGUCCUGGAUGGCAGGGAGCCAUGAAGCAGUUUGGAGCCAACAGUCUUUUAGCUCCCUUGAUGUGUUUGGUGUUGCAGAGACAUUAGUCUGUUAGUGCAGACAUGCCUUAAUGAGAAGAGUGCAGGGAUUUAGUUGAACCCAAACACAACCAGGCAUGCAGAGCAACGCGAGACAGAAACUGACAGAUCUCGUGUUGAGGAUCUCUUAUUGAGGAUCUUGUGUUGAGGAUCUCGUGUUGAGGAUCUCGUAUUGAGGAUCUCGUAUUGAAGAUCUAGUGAGAUCUUGGCCACCCCGAAGGCUUGGCGAACUCUCACUUCCUCCCACUGCUCUGGCUGCAUACCAGCCAACUAAUAGCACAGCCACCAGUGGAUCAAUAGCUAUCAGCAGUCUGAAGGCCUUCCAGGCUGCCGGGAACCUUGAUGCACCCUGGUGUAACAGAGACAGAAAGGAUACAUGAUAUCACCACAUUACUACAGCCCUGGGGGUGUCUGUAGAGAGAGAGAGGAGAGGGUGGGGUGGUGUGGGUGAGGGAGAGAGGGACAGAGAGAGAGGAG